AAUUCGAUUGAGUUUGAUCAUGGCUCAGAUUGAACGCUGGCGGCAUGCCUAACACAUGCAAGUCGAACGGCAGCACAGCUUAAGCUUGCUUAAGUGGGUGGCGAGUGGCGGACGGGUGAGUAAUGCAUCGGGACCUACCUGAACGUGGGGGAUAACGUAGGGAAACUUACGCUAAUACCGCAUACGUCCUACGGGAGAAAGCGGGGGACCUUCGGGCCUCGCGCGGUCAGACGGACCGAUGUUCGAUUAGCUAGUUGGUAAGGUAAUGGCUUACCAAGGCGACGAUCGAUAGCUGGUCUGAGAGGAUGAUCAGCC
rnacentral:rRNA from 1 species